rnacentral:rRNA from 1 species
UACGGGGGGGGCAAGCGUUGUUCGGAAUUACUGGGCGUAAAGGGCUCGUAGGCGGCCAACUAAGUCGGAUGUGAAAUCCCCAGGCUCAACCUGGGAACUGCGUCCGAUACUGGAUGGCUUGAAUUCGGGAGAGGGAUGCAGAAUUCCAGGUGUAGCGGUGAAAUGCGUAGAUAUCUGGAGGAAUACCGGUGGCGAAGGCGGCAUCCUGGACCGACAUUGACGCUGAUGAGCGAAAGCUAGGGGAGCAAACGGG